GGUUCGAUGGCAGAGUGGUAAUGCAGCCGCGUCUUGUACCGGAAGCCAAUUACAGUAUCUGCGGAGGUCGUCUGUUCGAACCAGGCUCGAGCCA